ACACUUUUAGCUUAAUUGGAUUAGAGCCUUAGUCUUCGAAACUAAUAAUUAUGGGUUCGAAUCCCAUAGAGUGUA
rfam:Smittium mucronatum strain ALG-7-W6 scaffold-25691, whole genome shotgun sequence.